CUAUACAUGCAGUAUUGCGUUUAUUCUCUAAUGCAGUGGAUUUUAGUUUAGCAGUGAUGGUACCUAUUGUUCAAUAAACUGUGUGGUCAGCUUGUUUAAUGUAGUGCUUGUGCACACUUAUUUGUUAGAUGUAUAGUUGGAGUGCGGAAAAGUCCACCCUCCGUUUUUAAGUAUGAACUGAAGCGAUCUUGUAAAGUGACCGUUACAGUAUACAAUAUUAUAAAAUAUUAUCACGUCAUCAGGUCGGUCGAGCAGAUGCUUAUUAAUGCAGGGGUGACAACUUUCAUUCGUUUGGCACUUGGCAAAUAAUAAUCCAAAUACUUAUCAUGAAAUGUUUUAUAAUAUCAUGUCUACAAACCAAACCCACGUAUUAUGCCUUUCAUGACGUCUUACGUUCGAAUAGCUCAUAACAUCUCUGAGGUAAAUUAUUCCCCGAGGCUAAUGUUAGUAACGCUUGUUCAGUUUACGAUCUCAACGUUACCGAGCAUAUCUUCUGAAUAUCUUUUUUGCUAAAUACAAUCUACGAUAAACGACAUUCAACUAAAACAUCUGUGGCCUUCACGAGCAUCCAGUUAGCGUCGAUCGUCGUGUCUCAAGAGACCAUCGUGCCUCAGGUCAACAUGAACUGCAGCCUGCAAGAAGAUCAACCACAGAAGACUGCCUUCUUCAGGAGAAAAUGGCGGGCAGUUAAAAGAAUAUUGACUGGGAGUAACAGAGGGAGAUACCGGUUUGACCAUCCUCCAUCCAGUUUCGAGCCUGACCCAUCCUGCCCUAGACUUGUGUCAUUCAGGAAGCUGGAUGAUCCACAGCCUGGUCCAACGACUAAAUCCCAUCUGGCUGAAAUGGACCCAGCCAAAAAUAAGCCAGUCGUGCACGAGCGAGCCAACCCUCAGCCUCCACCCGUCACAGCAGACACCGGGAUUGCUGGGAAGCCGUUCCGAGCCACGCAGGUCUGGAAUAGCGUCGUCGACAACCUUCAGACGCAGGUGGAGGUGAAAAAGAGACAACAAUCUGAAAAUCUAUCAGGAUUGUUUUUCGGGCUCGGAAGCUGUGGACGUGGUUCUGGCACAUAUUAUUCAGAGCAAGGUCUGCAAAGAUACAGAGGUGCCUCGAUCCAAAGCCGUUCGACUCUGCCAGCACCUCAAUGAUGCCAAUGUCUUUGAGGAGGUGGACACCAACGUUUUUGGAAGAAUAAGAAUCAAGCGAAAUUUAAGGACAGCAGCUAUAGCCAGUAUAGGUUUCACCCGACCACGGGCACAUUAAGCACACCAUGGAUUAGGCACAUCAUCCCCAGAGACCAUCGAGAGAAGUUUUAACUCGCGUCAAAGGAACAACAACCAAAGACACCGGGAUUGAUGGGAAGCUCUUCCGAGCCACGCAGAUCUGGAAUAGCGUAGUCGACAACCUUCUGACGCAGGUUAAGGUGAAGUGAUUAUUGUAAAUGAAAUGAUCACAUACAACAGUUUUGAUAUACUAGGCCUUAUGUUGUGUUCAGACCAAACGCGAAUGGCGUGUUAAGCGCGAGUGAUUUACAAGUCAAUGCAAAGACACGAUAGACCUACUUGCGGCGCGAAUGAGGCGGUGCGAAUGACGUGAAUUGCGCGAAUGAUGCGAAUCGCACGAUUCGAGUUAAAAAAAUUGAACUUUGGUGAAACCAAUCAGGUCGGACAAUCUGGCAAGUUGUAAAAAACAAUCUUUACAAUAUCUGAGCAAUAUAUGUAUAUACGAGAAUAGAGCCGCCAAUUUGCGUCUGAAGUGAAGUGAUUUUGACGCGCGAAUAAAGCGAAUUUGACGUGCGAAUGAAGCGAGUAAACUCAAAAUGUUCCAGCGUCUAACUGCGCGCGAAUAGCGUGAUUGAUUUGCGCAAGUCGCGUUUGGUCUGAACACACAGUUGUUGAAACCUGGCUUAAGCCAAAUGAUUAUUUCGGUCUAAAUGAGUCUACUCCACCAAGCUACGGUUAAAUGCAUGAGCCAGGUCCGGUUGGUCGAGGUGGUGGUGUCGCAACAAUCUUUAGAGACCUUCUUACCGUAAUUCAAUGAACAAAGCAUGCAUUUAAAUCAUUUGAAGUGCUUGUGUUGAACAUAAUUGUUCCAAACAAAUGUAAAAAAUCAAUGCUCUCUCUUACAUUGGCUACUAUGUAUAGACUCCCAGGGCCAUACCCUAAUUUUCUGAUAGAGUUCGCAAACUUCUUAUCGGACCUAUUGGUUAACGUCGAUAAAGUAUUGAUUGUCGGAGAUUUUAAUAUCCACGUAGAUAGUGCUAACGAUACAUUAGCAGUAGCGUUGAAUGGGCUACUACACUCUUUUUGUGUAACAAUACAUCAAUAGACCUAUUCAUCGACUUAAUCAUACACUAGAAUUUAUUAUAUCUCACGGAGCCGAUCUAACCAAAAUCGAUAUUAUACCUCAAAGCGACGAUGUUACCGAUCACCAUCCUAUAAUAUGUACACAUUGUACUGCAGAAAUCAGUCGUAUAGCUGGUUAUCGACAGUGUAGAAAUAUCACCUCAACUACUAAAGAUAGUUUCGUAAAGAACUUGCCAGAUCUGACUCCUUUAAUAACCUUGCCAACAAAUACAGAAUUGCUCAAUGACAUGACCAGCAACAUGGGCACUAUUUUCUCUCAUACAUUAGAAGCGGUCGCACCUAUGAAGUCAAAAAAGAUUAAUGAAAAGAUCACAGCACCAUGGUUUAAUAUCACCACUCGCGCCCUAAAAAGAGAAACACGUAAACUGGAGCACAAAAUGGAAACAAACCCAAUUAGAGGUCUUUAAAAUUGCAUGAAAAGAGAGCAAAAACCAACUUCCAAACUUCCAACUGUUACAAAAAAGAACUAAAAGCAGCAAAAGCCGAGCACUUCCGUUUCCUCAUAGAAACUAACAAAAACAAUCCAAGUACCACAAUUUUUAUUUGGUACAAUUGCUAAACUAACAAACAAACCGACUUCACCUGACCUGGCUAUUCCGCCGCACCUUGAUAGCAAUGAAUUCAUGAAAUUUUUUACAGAGAAAUUCUAAAUAUGCGAGACAACAAACCUCCAAGUGUGACUGAAGAAUUAGUAAUCAAACAUCACCCCAAAAGAAAAGCUACAGUGUUUUUCUCCUAUAAAACAGGAAGAUUUAAUUAAACUUAUUGCAAACCGACAACAUGCUUAUUAGACCCCAUUCCAACGACAUUAUUAAAAGAGUUACUGUUGCAAUUGAGCCCAUUAACAACACUAUCAACUCGACAAUUAAUCUAAGCCAUGUCCCAGGACCCUUUAAACUGGCUGUAAUUAAGCCUCUUUUAAAAAAAAAACUUAUACCCCAAUGAACUUGGAAGCUAUAGACCGAUUUCAAAUCUCCCGUACUUGUUUAAAAAUAAAGUAGUGUCCACUCAGUUGUGUACUUUCCUUCAAAAUAAUGACAUACACAAAAAGUUUCAGUCUGGCUUUAGACCGCAUCAUAGCACUGAAACAGCGCUAGUUAGAAUUACAAAUGACCUUCUUAUUGCAUCAGAUAAAGGUAACAUUUCACUCUUAGUCCUGCUUGACCUUAGUGCUGCUUCGAUACUGUAGACUAGAGGUGCGCGGAUGAGCUAAAAUGUCACCCGCAACCGCUGCUUCAAAUAAAUGAUCCACCCGCCACCCGCCCGCACGUAUAAUUUUCUCUGAUAUAAAUAUCCGCACCCGAUCGUCACUUUAAUUACUCUAAUUCUUUGUUUUGAGCAUGAUGUUAUCAGAUUCAGUGAUGUUAGAACUACUCUGCCAAUCUCUGAUGGUACAAUAAUACACUGAUCGUAAAAUGCUUUUAAAGGAACAUUUAUUUAUUAAACAAAAGUUUGUCUUCGGCCAGAUUAGCCUACAUUUUCUUAGUCAAAUAAACACAGGCGUACAUAAUCCCUUCAGACUUUUAAUAUCGCUGAUUCUGUCACUGCCACACAUACACAAAUGAAUGACUGGAUAACAGUACAUUUUCUAGCACUGUCUAUGUCUGCAAAUGCUUAAAUCUAAUCCUUCGAUUUAGCACACACAUGAUGUACCAUAUUCAAGGUCUUGUGGCUUUCAUAUACACACACAAUGCCUUACUGUCGUUGCUCACACACGAUACUUUUCUUUCUUUCGUCCUUCGUUUUGUUUUGUUUUUAAUUCUUUAGAAUUCUAAUUCUUUUAAUUUGUUUUAACAUCUUUUAAGCCAAGCUUUCACUUAAUGCAUAGUUAACGAACAGCAGCUACGCUAAUUAUUCUCUUUCUGCCCCCUCCUCGGGAUGCCCAUCCCGAGAUAGGGAGAAAUUCCACCAGGUCCAGAGGAUCGACAGAUGCCCAUCCACAACUAGAGAUUACGCCAGCUACAGCUGCAGCUGCUUUGGAUCAAUGCACAUUGUGAAAAGCACUAUAUAAACUAUAAAAUCUUGAAUUGACUUGAAGAGGAGACGACACAAUCUGAAAAAAAUGCUAGUUUUUUGGGCUCGUAAGCUGUGAAUCGGGUUCUGGCUCAUAUCGUUCAGAGCAAGGUCUCCAAAGAUGCAGAGGUGCCUCGAUUCAAACCCGUCUGACUCUGCCAGGCCCACAUGGAAGCCAAGAUCUUCGAGGAGUUUCAAUUGAUUCCCUUUAUGAAAGAUGUGCAAAGGAGAUUUUGUGACGACUUCAUCAGAGUUGUACCCAGGGAGCCAGAGAGAAGAUAUAUUCAAUGUGAGGAUGAGCCAUGGAGCUUGCUCACUUGAAGCGCAUCAGAUAUGAUGCCGAAUUAAUUACAGUCUGGUCACACUGCAAACUGUCGUAUUAAACAAUACACAGACGUGAGGCCUUAGACCAAAAAGGUCUAAGUGACUGAAGAACCAACCUUUGACACCAGAGAUAUGCAGCCAGAGAAGAGCAAACAGUAUGAGAAUUCUGGAAGCAGUGGACCCACACUGGGAUUGAGAAAAAACGUUCUAUGUGUAGUGGGACAUGAAUUUCACACUUUAAUGUAGAUGCAGCUACAGUUCACUCAUUUACAGUAGUUGCAACUUCAAUUCACUGCCAAAUGAACUCCUGAUAAAUGCAGGUAAUGAGAAUUGCAUUUACAGAAAUUCUAUGUAGUGUCCACUGAACCCAACUUAACUGUCUUUAAUUGUUGAUGAUGUCAUCACAGAAAGUUGCUGUAGUUAGACUGUGUCAUAACAAAUGCAGAGUGACUCCGGUUUCCGUACACAUGAGGAGCGAUUAUUAUUUAAGGCAGUGGUUCUCAAACUUUUCAGAUCAAGAACCACCUUUAAUAAAAUCAGUUGUUCCAAGUUCCACCUAAUGACCGCCAUAGAAAAUCAUAUGAAAAGACAUUCAAAUUAAUAGUAGAGCUGUGAAUCUUUAUAUUUACGCCCCGUCCUCCAAUUCUAACUUAUUAUUAAUAAUACAAAUACUUUUUGAAAAUGAAAUACAGUAUGUGUUUAUCAGCGAUCUGUGUCUAACUGUUUCAGUUUGUUUGCCAGUAUGAAUUGUUGUAAAGCAGGUUUAUACAAAACGUAUCUGUGAGAACAGUUAUGAUAAACGUCAUACCUCAAUGCCAUACUCUUCCUGACUUGACACAUUUGUACAUCCUAUCCAAAACACUGCGGUAAUCAGAGAAUGACUGGACCAGUCAAUGGCACACAAUCGUUCCUUUUAUUCUUGACUUUCAACCUGAUCGUAUACUCGCAUUGUUCUUAUUAAAAACUCCCAUUUAUUUCUUAAGUACUAUCUGUCUGAACAACUGGUGAAACUUGUAAGCCGCUUUGAAUUGAAACUCUCUCCCUGACUUUAGAUGUUUGACCAAACACCAAUCGAAAUCGUCUUUGUGGAAGGACAUUAAAGCUUUUCAGCCAUCUUUAAAACUUCAAAAUCAGCAAAAAAGCCAGCAGGUCACAUUCCACAUCUCUAUAAGACUGCUUCAAAAUAACAACAUACAUAAACAUGUAAUAAAAUGAAUAUACAAUAAAAUUCUACAGGUUGUUUAUUUAAUACCAGUAUACAAUACAAUAUUAAUUUAUACAAAAAAAUCUUAAGUGCUCAAAUUUUUGCAGAAAAAAUACAGUGUUUGUAUUUUUAGGCAGGAUAGUUCUACAAAAAGACAAAUCACAAAUGUUAUUACAUCUGACCAAAACUGUCAAUGUUCUUUUAUUUUUCAAAACUCGAAAUCUCACUUUUUGUUUUAGUGAUCUGAAACCCCUAAAGAUUAAUAACCUCAAUUUAAAUGUGGUGUUUGUUUGAAUUUUACUAAAUCUCCCUAAAUUCUGUGAUAUACUGUGAUAGAUGUGGUUGGUGGUGUGAGGUAAGAAAAAUAAUCGAAAUGUAUUUAAUACAGUAAUAAAUCAAUUAGAAAUUAAUACAAA